rnacentral:rRNA from 1 species
UACGUAGGGACCGAGCGUUGUCCGGAAUCAUUGGGCGUAAAGAGCGUGUAGGCGGCCAACUAAGUCCUGCGUGAAAUCUCGGGGCUCAACCCCGAGCGGCCGUGGGAAACUGGUUGGCUAGAGUGCGGGAGAGGAGAGUGGAAUUCCUGGUGUAGCGGUGAAAUGCGCAGAUAUCAGGAAGAACACCCGUGGCGAAGGCGGCUCUCUGGAACGCAACUGACGCUGAGGAGCGAAAGCUAGGGGAGCAAACGGG